AGGAUGAACGCUAGCGGGAGGCUUAACACAUGCAAGUCGAGGGGCAGCAUAGGGUAGCAAUACUCUGAUGGCGACCGGCGCACGGGUGAGUAACGCGUAUGCAACCUACCCUUUACCGGGGGAUAGCUCGGAGAAAUCCGGAUUAAUACCCCAUGACAUUCCGGGGGCGCAUGUUCCGGGAUUAAAACUACGGUGGUAAAGGAUGGGCAUGCGUAACAUUAGCUAGUUGGUGAGGUAACGGCUCACCAAGGCUACGAUGUUUAGGGGACCUGAGAGGGUGAUCCCCCACACUGGUACUGAGACACGGACCAGACUCCUACGGGAGGCAGCAGUGAGGAAUAUUGGUCAAUGGGCGCAAGCCUGAACCAGCCAUCCCGCGUGCAGGAAGAAGGCGCUAUGCGUUGUAAACUGCUUUUGCAGGGGAAGAAAACACCGGUCGUGACCGGGACUGACAGUACCCUGUGAAUAAGCAUCGGCUAACUCCGUG
rnacentral:rRNA from 1 species